rnacentral:rRNA from 1 species
UAGCGUAUAUUAAAGUUGUUGCGGUAAAAAAGCUCGUAGUUGGAUUUCUGUUGAGAUUGACCGGUCCGGACCACGUCUGUGCAUCUGGCUUAGUCUCGGCAUCCUCUCGAAAACCGCUGCUGUGCUUGAUUGCAUGGCUCGAUUCUCGGGACUUUUACUUUGAGGAAAUUAGAGUGUUCACGGCAGGCUUUCGCCAGAAUACAUUAGCAUGGAAUAAUACUAUAGGAUCUCGGCCCUAUUUUGUUGGUUUCUAGAGUUGAGGUAAUGAUUAAUAGGGACAAUAGGGGGCAUUCGUAUCAACACGUC